GACGAACCGUGCGAACGUUGUUCGGAAUCACUGGGCUUAAAGGGCGCGUAGGCGGGUCAUCAAGUCAGGGGUGAAAUACUUCGGCUUAACCGGAGAAGUGCUUUUGAUACUGGUGACCUCGAGGGGGGUAGGGGCGUGCGGAACUUCCGGUGGAGCGGUGAAAUGCGUAGAUAUCGGAAGGAACACCGGUGGCGAAAGCGGCGCGCUGGACCCCUUCUGACGCUGAGGCGCGAAAGCCAGGGGAGCAAACGGG
rnacentral:rRNA from 1 species